rnacentral:rRNA from 1 species
GAGGGGCGGCCUGCUUACCAUGGCAGUCGAACGGAGUACCCUCGAAAGAGAUUUCGGUCAAUGGAGAGGACUACUUAGUGGCGGACGGGUGAGUAACGCGUGAGGAACCUGCCUUUCAGAGGGGGACAACAGUUGGAAACGACUGCUAAUACCGCAUAACGUACGGGUAUCGCAUGGUACUGGUACCAAAGAUUUAUCGCUGAGAGAUGGCCUCGCGUCUGAUUAGCUAGUUGGUAGGGUAACGGCCUACCAAGGCGACGAUCAGUAGCCGGACUGAGAGGUUGGCCGGCCACAUUGGGACUGAGAUACGGCCCAGACUCCUACGGGAGGCAGCAGUGGGGAAUAUUGGGCAAUGGGCGCAAGCCUGACCCAGCAACGCCGCGUGAAGGAAGAAGGCUUUCGGGUUGUAAACUUCUUUUGACAGGGAAGAGCAGAAGACGGUACCUGUCGAAUAAGCCACGGCUAACUACGUGCCAGCAGCCGCGGUAAUACGUAGGUGGCAAGCGUUGUCCGGAUUUACUGGGUGUAAAGGGCGUGUAGCCGGGCUGACAAGUCAGAUGUGAAAUCCGGGGGCUCAACCCCCGAACUGCAUUUGAAACUGUUGGUCUUGAGUAUCGGAGAGGCAGGCGGAAUUCCUAGUGUAGCGGUGA